rnacentral:rRNA from 1 species
CUCCGGUUGAUCCUGCGGGACCCGACUGCUAUCGGAUUGAGAUUUAGCCAUGCGAGUCGAACGUCCCCCUGUUGCGGGGGGCGUGGCGUACGGCUCAGUAACACGUAGUCAACCUGCCCUGGAGACAAGGACAACCCCGGGAAACUGGGAUUAAUCCUUGAUAGGUCAUCUCAUCUGGAAGGAGAGAUGGCUUAAAGGGGUACGCGGGCUUCUUCCGCGAAUCUGCUCCAGGAUGGGACUGCGUCCGAUCAGGCUGUUGGCGGGGUAAUGGCCCACCAAACCUGUAACCGGUACGGGCCUUGAGAGAGGUGGCCCGGAGAUGGACACUGAGAGAAGGGUCCAGGUCCUACGGGGCGCAGCAGGCGCGAAACCUUCGCAAUGCGCGAAAGCGUGACGAGGUUAAUCCGAGUGACUCCCGCUGAGGGGGUCUUUUGUCAGCUGUAAAUAGGCAGGCGAAUAAGGGGAGGGCAAGCCUGGUGUCAGCCGCCGCGGUAAUACCAGCUCCUCGAGUGGUCGGGGCGAUUAUUGGGCCUAAAGCAUCCGUAGCCGGUUCUGCAAGUCUUCCGUUAAAUCCAGCCGCUCAACGGAUGGGCCGCGGAGGAUACUACAGGACUAGGAGGCGGGAGAGGCAAGCGGUACUCAGUGGGUAGGGGUAAAAUCCUUUGAUCCAUUGAAGACCACCAGUGGCGAAGGCGGCUUGCCAGAACGCGCUCGACGGUGAGGGAUGAAAGCUGGGGGAGCAAACCGGAUUAGAUACCCGGGUAGUCCCAGCUGUAAACGAUGCAGACUCGGUGAUGGGCUAGCCUUGUGCCAGCCCAGUGCCGCAGGGAAGCCGUUAAGUCUGCCGCCUGGGGAGUACGGUCGCAAGACUGAAACUUAGAGGAUUGGCGGGGGAGCA